rnacentral:rRNA from 1 species
UACAGGGGGGGCAAGCGUUGUUCGGAAUUACUGGGCGUAAAGGGCGUGUAGGCGGUUUGUUAAGUCAUGUGUAAAAUCCCUCGGCUCAACCGGGGAACGACGCAUGAAACUGGCAAGCUAGAGUACCAAAGAGGGGGGUGGGAAUUCCCGGUGUAGCGGAUGAAUGACGUAGAUAUCGGGAGGAACACCUGUGGCGAAGGCGGCCCCCUGGUUGGAUACUGACGCUGAUACGCGAAAGCGUGGGGAGCAAACAGG